rnacentral:rRNA from 1 species
AUUGAACGCUGGCGGCAUGCUUUACACAUGCAAGUCGAACGGUAACAGGCCGCAAGGUGCUGGCGAGUGGCGAACGGGUGAGUAAUGCAUCGGAACGAGCCCAGUCGUGGGGGAUAACGCAGCGAAAGCUGUGCUAAUACCGCAUACGAACUAUGGAUGAAAGCGGGGGACCGUAAGGCCUCGCGCGAUUGGAGCGGCCGAUGUCAGGUUAGGUAGUUGGUGGGGUAAAGGCUCACCAAGCCAACGAUCUGUAGCUGGUCUGAGCGGACGACCAGCCACACUGGGACUGAGACACGACCCAGACUCCUACGGGAGGCAGCAGUGGGGAAUUUUGGACAAUGGGCGCAAGCCUGAUCCAGCAAUGCCGCGUGCAGGAAGAAGGCCUUCGGGUUGUAAACUGCUUUUGUACGGAACGAAAAGGUUUGGGUUAAUACCCUGGGCCGAUGACGGUACCGUAAGAAUAAGCACCGGCUAACUACGUGCCAGCAGCCGCAGUAA